rnacentral:lncRNA from 1 species
GUGAUCUGUUUAAUUAGUGGGCUCUGAGUUCAAGUCUCAAACUGAAAGUGUGUUUUAUUCAAAUUCCAUCCGCAACCUUCUGCACAUGUUGAAGGAUGAGCUGGAUUAGCAGGAAACCUUGAUCCAACAUAGACGGUCUGUUCAUGACGCAUAAACUGCCCAGAGUUACUUCCAUAGAAAAUCCUCUUUCACAGAUGGGCUGGUUGUCCUUCGCCACCCAGAAGGACCUAAUGAAGAUGGUGCCGCCGCCCUACUCAUACUUGGCGCUCAUCGCCAUAGCCAUCCACAGAGCGCCGGAGGACAACCUCACGUUCGCCACAUCUACCAGUUCCUGGCCGUUAGCUUCCCUUUGUACCAGUGCAGCAAGGCUGGCUGGCAGAACUCCAUUCGCCACAACUUGUAGCUCAACAAAUGCUUCAAGAAGGUGCCCCGCGACGAGGACGACCCAGGGAAAGGUAAUUACUGGACUCUAGAUCCAAACUGCAACAUGAUGUUUGACAAUAGAAACUUCCUUCGGAAGCGAAAGAAGCGUUCUGAGGCCAGCGGCAGCUCUGUGUUAACUGCAGGGACUUCCAAGUCAGAACACCUGUCUUCGGGAUUGCGGACCUGAGUGGGUGGCACACCGGAGGGAUACACACCUCCUCAGUGCUGUGGUCAGUCGCUCGAGACUGAGAGCGCCAAGAAUCCCGUGUCCCCUAAAGGGGCCCGGUGCUGGCCUCUGGCUCCUGCCUCAGCACCUUCUUCAGCAGCCUUGGCACCGUUAGCGUCUGCAGCAGCGGGAACAUCAAAGGCGCAGGCCCAGCAACUGCUACCUGGGGGUCCAAGGAGCUCAGCUGCCCUCAAGCAGUGCCUUCCCCCGCCACCUCCACCUCUGAGGCCUCCGCAGAUACCGUAGCUGAGCACCAGCAAUGGCAGCAGUCAGUGAUCUUCCUACUACAGCCCCUUCCCUACCUGCACCCAUGGGCGCCAGGGCAGCCCCUUCCGUAGACCCCUGUACAACUUCGGCAUGGUCAACAUCUAUCCCUGGGAGGCCUCUGAGGUGUAG